UCAACCGAUUAAUUUUCCCCGCCUCCGACCCGAUUUCCCCAAAUCCUUUCCGAAGGCCAACCCAGUCUGCAGCCCUUUUCCCUGCGCUUCUUCUCUCCUCCCUUCCUGUUUUCGAUUUUUCUUUUUUCCUUCUCUGAUGAACUUAAAAAAUCACGUAUGGAAGAUUGCAUGGAGAAAUGGUAGAUCAAGGAGAGAAGGAGAUCAAGUUUCAGUGUUCGGCACUGCAUAUUGAUGCAUCUCAGUGGAGACCAAGGAGUUCGCCAUGAAGUCCAUCAAGGAGGCCCUCCUCACUAACAUCAUUGACCGCAAGUGCAUCAAGCAGAAAGCUAAGAUUGCCCAACACACUGCCGUCGAGAGCCCAUGCGUCGUGCCGGUGCAACAUGUGUACAAGCUUCGGGCUGUGGUGGAACCUACCCUCUAUUUGAUUACUAAUUCAUAAGUAUAUUAGGCUACUCUUCUUUGCAAA